CUUUUCUGGGAACAAUGGUUUGUGUGCCGUUUUGUUCACGUGUUGUUUUGCAUAUCUUUGGUGUCGAGCUUUCGCCUGGUUUGCACGUGCUUGAUUUGCAUUUGUUUGCUUUUAGUUGACUGGGUAUUUUGUCGAUAAGCACACAGGGAGGCAGCAUAGACUCCAGUUUGACGGAGGAAGACAAUUUCUGAGGUUCAGCUGUGCAGCAAGUAACGGCGGGGCGAUGGAACCAGAAGCUCCGGCAGACCUUGGGCAGACCAUCUCCACGUAGCGAAAGGACGGACGAGUCCCACAUAGUGGGGGGAAAACUUCAGGAUGGCUGAGAUAUGGCAGCUCAGCCCGGAUUCCAGCUCUCCCAGGCCGAGGAAGGCGACUACCACAGCGCGACUGAGAUGCAGCAAGCUCUGACAGACUUUUGGCGGCCUCUUCACAUAUUGAAAGGGCGGAAGAGUCCUACCUGGCGGGUCGAAACGUCAGAUGUUAAAGAUACGGCAGGUUUGGGGCGAAAAUGCGGUAACAAACGUUUGUGUUUUUUGUCCAAUUAUGUUUUCAUGGGAACAAUGGUUUGGGGUGGCUAAUGUGUACACGUGUUGUUUUGCAUAUCUUUGGUGUCGGGCUUUCGCUCGGUUCGCUCGUGCUUGAUUUUCAUUUGCUUUGUCUUUAGUUGAUACUUGUGUUCUAAACGUGUUGUUUUCUUAGCAGAUCAGCCCGGUUUCCAGCUCUCCUGUGCCGAGGAAGGUGACUACCACAUCGCGACCGAGGUGCAGCAAGCUCCGACAGAGCGUUGGAGCCAGCAAGCCGAGCAUUCCCAACACAUACUGCAGUUCUUCGCGGCAUCGGCACUAGACGACAGCCGUCACGGAGCGCACGGCUUUGGUUAUUUCAGGGAGGCGUGCACGUUUUUGGUGACAUCGAUUUGAGGCGGGAUUCCCCUCAGAUAUUUUGUCUUUAUGUCUGUUGUUGCUGUUUUGAAGUGUUUUGUCUCCCUCUAAUUAGGGAUAUUUUCUUUUACCGUUGUUGUUUGUAAAGUUUUGCUUGUGUUGACACAGUGACGGCGACACAGACCUGGACUAUUAA